GACGAACGCUGGCGGCGUGCUUAACACAUGCAAGUCGAACGGAAAGGCCCUGCUUUUGUGGGGUGCUCGAGUGGCGAACGGGUGAGUAACACGUGAGUAACCUGCCCUCGACGUUGGGAUAACUUCAGGAAACUGGGGCUAAUACCGGAUAGGAGCUCCUGCUGCAUGGUGGGGGUUGGAAAGUUUCGGCGGUUGGGGAUGGACUCGCGGCUUAUCAGCUGGUUGGUGGGGCAGUGGCUUACCAAGGCUUUGACGGGUAGCCGGCCUGAGAGGGUGACCGGCCACAUUGGGACUGAGAUACGGCCCAGACUCCUACGGGAGGCAGCAGUGGGGAAUAUUGCACAAUGGGCGGAAGCCUGAUGCAGCAACGCCGCGUGCGGGAUGACGGCCUUCGGGUUGUAAACCGCUUUCGCCUGUGACGAAGCGUGAGUGACGGUAAUGGGUAAAGAAGCACCGGCUAACUACGUG
rnacentral:rRNA from 1 species